UUGUUAUUCAAUAAUACCUCAAGGGAGGGGAGCGUAAUAUACCCAAAACAGAAAUAAUUGUAUCAACAAGAGGGAUUAGACAAGGAGAUCCAUUAUCUCCUUAUCUUUUUCAUUCUUGUAGCUGAGGCACUAUCUGUUAUGAUCUCUAAUGCUAUCUCACAAGGGUCUUUGAGAGGAAAAAAGAUGAAGUCACUACUACAGAAUUAAGUUCUCCCGGCAGAAAUUCGCGGCAGCUGUGAAACUGCCCUUUAUUACUUGCAUUUUAUGGCGGUUCCGUGGCGGCUUUACUGCUGCCGGGAAAGAGUUGUAGUGGCGGCAGUUUUUCCCCUUUUAACGGCAGUUCCUGUCCGCCAACAAUUGCUUUUAGAAAAAUACAAAUUAAUUUCAUUAUUGGUGUCCUCUGUCACGCUCUUACAGAAGGAAAUGGUCCCGUCAUUUGCUAUGGCCGAUGGCCAUGUUGGCCUCACCGGCAUCUCCUGACAUUCAUCGUCUCUCUCCCACUGUCUCUCUAAAUUAGAAUUGUCCAGUUAUUUCAGAGAUUGAGUAGAAGGGAGACUAAUUAUCAAUUACUGAUCAAGAAGCCUACUUUUGCAGGUAGUAGUUUUACAUUUUUCCUUGGAAUUUUAUUUCUAACUUUCUGUGCACUCAAUGUGUUCGUGGAAUUGAAUGAAUUUUAUUACUGAUGAAUAAUAAUUUUUUUACAUGCUACAACUUCAUGCUAGUUCACCAAUUCAUGUUAGUGGUUCAACUAUGAUAUGAUCCUUUUUCUUUUAUAAAGUCAUUUAUCAAGAUUUAAUUUCCUUUGUGAUUCAUUUGUAAUAAAUCAUCUAGAUAGAUGAAUGCAAAUAGAAUUAAAUACCACUUGCAUUUGAAUCCGAAUAUGAGGUUUGUUAUAUUGUUUUCUCGAGCACAACUGAGUUGCAGCUGUUGUUUGCCUCAGGAAAAUGGCUCUUUAACUGGUGCUGUUGUUGCUGUCGAUGAUGUCUUAGGCUUUUUCUAGAGUUCUCUUCUUCUUCUUUUUUUUCCUUCUCUUUUUCAUAUGUUUGCUUGAAUAUCUCCCACCUUAGCUUCUGUUAACUAGCUGCAAAAGUGGAACUUGAAUAAUAAUUUUGUUGAUUGCGUUUCUGCAACCCCAUUUGAAAUAUGGAAUCCUUUCGUGAAGAGAUGAGUAAUGUUGCUCCGUCAAGAUGUAUGAGUUCUAUGAGUUCGAGACACAAAAAUCUUCGAGCAGUGUUAAUACGAUAUAUGAGGAAACAAAAAGAUUAAUGUUAACCCUCAUGAAGAAUUGAACAACGUUGCUUCUGAUAAAUGAGCCACAAGGAGUAAUGAGAGGAGCUAAGGAGAAUCCCGGAGAUGUACUGCAGAGCUACGGGACAAAAGGUCGAUAUGGGUAAAUCCUCAUUAAUCUUCAGCUGCAAUACAAAGGAGGAAGUUACAAAUCAUGGGACAGUUGUUGGACAUUGAUGUGGGGGCCAAACCAGGUAAAUACUUGCGUCUACCUACUUAAUGGGGAAAAUCAAAAGCUGAGGCUUUGAGUUGUAUAAAGGGAAAGGUACUUGGGAAGUUUCAAGGAUAGAAACAAACCAGUCUUUCUCGAGUAGGAAGAGAAGUUUGAUUAAAACUCAUAUAUUAUUUACUCUGAAACAAUAACUUAUAUUUUGUGUAAUUUUUAAAAGAUCGCGCUAGAAAUGAUACAAAGUGUAAAUAUGAUUUUUUUGAGUAAUUAAACCUAAACUUUAUUAUAUUCUUGCCUAUUUUGGAACCGUAGCAACUUGCAACUGAAAAAAAGGUAAAGAAAGAAACUCUCGUCUAGAGAAGAUAUUUUUUGGUGCAUACCUUGGUAUCUUGAAAUUCAACGGACCCUAAUUAAUUCAGUUUGAAUCGGGUCGGCCCGCUAAGACAUAAAACUCUCUCAAUCCAAGAAUUUUCUCCAUUCCUAAAACUUAAACCCAAGACCUUAAUUAAGGGGGAUAAGUACCGAACCGUUUGAAUUAAGCCUUGUUGGUUGUCUAGAGAGGAUCAUGUUCAUAUCUUAUUAUGAAGUUCAUAUGAUAGUUGUAACCGAAAUAUGCGAUAAUGUCAAUGAUAAAACAAGCAAAAAUAAACACGAAGUUUCAUACAAAUAUAUAUUCUGUCGCAACAUGUCAUUUCAAUUAGGAUAUUCCAUCAGCAUUUUAAUUAAUUUUGAUGAAAUUUACUUCGAUUGAGAUACACAGGUCUUGGGUGUAGUAUAACUUCAAUCAGUUGUUGGCCAUCAGGUUAUCGGAUGAAAACAGGUUCUC